CCUACGGGUGGCAGCAGUAGGGAAUCUUUCACAAUGGGCGAAAGCCUGAUGCAGCAACGCCGCGUGCAGGAUGAAGGCCUUCGGGUUGUAAACUGCUUUUAUAAGCGAGAAAUAUGAUGGUAACUUAUGAAUAAGGAUCGGCUAACUACGUGCCAGCAGCCGCGGUCAUACGUAGGAUCCGAGCAUUAUCCGGAGUGACUGGGGGUAAAGAGUUGCGUAGGGGGCAUAAUAAGUAGCGAGUGAAAUCUGGUGGCUCAACCAUUCAGACUAUUAGCUAAACUGUUAAGCUCGAGACCGUUAGAGGUAACUGGAAUUUCUAGUGUAGGAGUGAAAUGCGUAGAUAUUAGGAGGAACACCAAUAGCGAAGGCAGGUUACUGGGACGGUUCUGACACUAAGGCACGAAAGCGUAGGGAGCAAACGGGAUUAGAUACCCGUGUAGUC
rnacentral:rRNA from 1 species